GGGGUUGUGGCUCAGUGAUAGAGCGCUUGCAUACCACGUUAGAGACCCUGGGUUCGAUCCUCAGCGCCACA
rnacentral:tRNA from 1 species